rnacentral:rRNA from 1 species
CAUGCAGUCGAGCGGUAGAGAGAAGCUUGCUUCUCUUGAGAGCGGCGGACGGGUGAGUAAUGCCUAGGAAUCUGCCUGGUAGUGGGGGAUAACGUUCGGAAACGGACGCUAAUACCGCAUACGUCCUACGGGAGAAAGCAGGGGACCUUCGGGCCUUGCGCUAUCAGAUGAGCCUAGGUCGGAUUAGCUAGUUGGUGAGGUAAUGGCUCACCAAGGCGACGAUCCGUAACUGGUCUGAGAGGAUGAUCAGUCACACUGGAACUGAGACACGGUCCAGACUCCUACGGGAGGCAGCAGUGGGGAAUAUUGGACAAUGGGCGAAAGCCUGAUCCAGCCAUGCCGCGUGUGUGAAGAAGGUCUUCGGAUUGUAAAGCACUUUAAGUUGGGAGGAAGGGUUGUAGAUUAAUACUCUGCAAUUUUGACGUUACCGACAGAAUAAGCACCGGCUAACUCUGUGCCAGCAGCCGCGGUAAUACAGAGGGUGCAAGCGUUAAUCGGAAUUACUGGGCGUAAAGCGCGCGUAGGUGGUUUGUUAAGUUGGAUGUGAAAUCCCCGGGCUCAACCUGGGAACUGCAUUCAAAACUGACUGACUAGAGUAUGGUAGAGGGUGGUGGAAUUUCCUGUGUAGCGGUGAAAUGCGUAGAUAUAGGAAGGAACACCAGUGGCGAAGGCGACCACCUGGACUAAUACUGACACUGAGGUGCGAAAGCGUGGGGAGCAAACAGGAUUAGAUACCCUGGUAGUCCACGCCGUAA